UACGGGGGGGGCAAGCGUUGUUCGGAAUUACUGGGCGUAAAGGGCUCGUAGGUGGCCAACUAAGUCAGACGUGAAAUCCUUCGGCUCAACCGAAGAACGUCGAUCGAUACUGCUGUUCUUGAGGGUUGCAGAGGAGACUGGAAUUCCCGGUGUAGCGGUGAAAUGUGUAGAGAUCGGGAGGAACACCGGUGGCGAAGGCGGGUCUCUGGGCAAUUCCUGACGCUGAGGCGCGAAAGCGUGGGGAGCAAACGGG
rnacentral:rRNA from 1 species